AUGCGUCCACCUCAACGGCUGCUACAUGGACGAGUUCCCUGCCCUGCUCACGGGCUGGCUCCAGAUCCUCGCCGACAAGGGUAUCCAGGAACUCGUCCUCGUCAACCGCCGAGGUGGCCGCUCGACGUCACUCUCCCCGACACUUUCUUAGGCAUGGCCACCCUCACCCGCCUCUACCUCGGCCCCUGGAAGUUCCCCGACACGGCCGGCCUCCCGAGCGCCACCUGUUUCCGCAACCUCUGUGAGCUCGGGCUCUGCAAUGUCAUCAUGGAGAGCAGGGACUUGGACUUCGUCCUCGACAGGAGCCCCGUGCUGGAGACGCUCUGUCUCGAAGGGAAUCUCUUCAGGCUUUGCCUCCGCCUUGUCAGCCAAAGCCUCCGGUGCGUGCAGAUCAUCGUGUGCUUCCUUGAAGAAAUCUUCGUGGUGAAUGCCCCACGCCUUGAGCGGCUCAUCCAGUCCGAAGGUUGUACCCCUAAUGGCACCUGCAACAAGGUGAAGAUUGGCCAUGCCCCCAAGCUGCACUUGUUGGGAUACUUGGAGCUGGACCAAAGGCACAUCCUAGAGGUCGGCAACACCAUCAUCAAGGCUGGGACAGGGGUGAGUCCGAGCACCAUGGUGCCAAGUGUGGGAAUCCUGGCUUUGGAGGUGCGUUUCGAAGUCCGCAAUGAUUCCAAGAUGGUUCCCGAUGUCCUCAGAUGCUUUCCGAAUGUUGAGACGCUCCACAUCAAGUCUGGAAAAACCGACCAAUCCACUGGCAAGCUGAACCUGAAGUCAUGGCACGAGUCUGGCACCAUAGAAUGCAUCCGGUCGCGCAUCAAGCUGCUGGUUUUCCAUGAUUUCUGA
rnacentral:rRNA from 1 species